rnacentral:rRNA from 1 species
AUUGAACGCUGGCGGCAGGCCUAACACAUGCAAGUCGAACGGUAACAGGAAGCAGCUUGCUGCUUCGCUGACGAGUGGCGGACGGGUGAGUAAUGUCUGGGAAACUGCCUGAUGGAGGGGGAUAACUACUGGAAACGGUAGCUAAUACCGCAUAACGUCGCAAGACCAAAGAGGGGGACCUUAGGGCCUCUUGCCAUCGGAUGUGCCCAGAUGGGAUUAGCUAGUAGGUGGGGUAACGGCUCACCUAGGCGACGAUCCCUAGCUGGUCUGAGAGGAUGACCGGCCACACUGGAACUGAGACACGGUCCAGACGCCUACGGGAGGCAGCGGGGGGGAAUUUUGCACAAUGGGAGCAAGCCUGAUGCAGCCAUGCCGCGUGUAUGAAGAAGGCAUUCGGGUUGUAAAGUACUUUCAGCGGGUAGGAAGGGAGUAAGGUUAAUACCUUUUCUCAUUGACGGUACCCGCAGAAGAAGCACCGGCUAACUCCGUG